rnacentral:rRNA from 1 species
CCCUUAGAUGUUCUGGGCCGCACGCGCGCUACACUGAUGCAUUCAACGAGCCUAUCCUUGACCGACAGGUCCGGGUAAUCUUUGAAUCUGCAUCGUGACGGGGAUAGAUUAUUGCAAUUAUUAAUCUUCAACGAGGAAUGCCUAGUAGGCGCAAGUCAUCAGCUUGCGUCGAUUACGUCCCUGCCCUUUGUACACACCGCCCGUCGCUCCUACCGAUUGGGUGUGCUGGUGAAAUGUUCGGAUCGGCCGUUUGUCGCGGUUUCCGCGGCUCGUGGCUGAGAAGUUCAUUAAUCCCUCCCACCUAGAGGAAGGAGAAGUCGUAACA